UACAGAGGGUGCGAGCGUUGUCCGGAAUCACUGGGCGUAAAGGGCGCGUAGGUGGCGACCCAAGUCGAUGGUGAAAGCUCGCCGCUCAACGGCGAGUCGGCCACCGAUACUGGGUUGCUGGAGCACUGUAGAGGCAGAUGGAAUUCCGGGUGUAGCGGUGGAAUGCGUAGAUAUCGGGAGGAACACCUGUGGCGAAAGCGGCUCACUGGACCACAACUGACGCUGAGGCGGCGAAAGCUAGGGGAAGCAAAGCAGG
rnacentral:rRNA from 1 species